rnacentral:sRNA from 1 species
UGUAGUAGUCCCACUCCAACUUCCCCAAACCAACUUUCCCAUCCUUGCGCUCCAACUUCUUCCCGUUCCUCCUCCACUCUCUCUCUCUAUGGGUCUUACUCCUCCAUACAAAAACCGAAUCGUUGCCUAAAGUAAUGGAGUCCAUCCCAUCGUCGCCAAAUCCCAUCAUCUUCUCGAACCAGUAGUUAUGUUGGAGAGACAUCGACGUUGCUGCGAAGAGAGGAAGAAGAUGAAGAUAGUGACGUACAACGUGAACAGGCUCAAAUUGCCAAAUUUAUAAGAUCGGCUUACAGGAAACCAAACUGCAACGGCGGGAAUUGACCGCCGCCCUGGUCAUGGCAGAGGGCUACGAGUCAUUCUCCUGCAACCGCACCUCCGAAAGAGGUUGCACCGGGUACUCUAGUCGACGUUAUAGGGUGACGAAGUGGCGUUGCCGGUGGCGGCGGAGGAAGCAUUCACUGGAGUUCUUGACAGUGGGAAAGGACAAAUGAAUGCAGUUGCGGAAGGGCUUAAGGAGUUUUCGAGAGAUAACCUACUGAAGUUGAUGGCAACGGGCGGUGUGUUGUAACGGAUCAUGGGCAUUUUGGUACGUUUGCCUUAGAUUCACGCUUAAAAUUCAAUUCUCUGUGAUUUCAUUUUUUGGAGAAAGUUUAAAGAUUUGUAUUUACAGUGGUUGUGUAGUUCUCUUUUCAAUUUAAAUGACCCUCGAGCAAGGAAAAAUGAAACGGAAGGGAUACAGUUUAAGUUCAAGUUUUUCAAUUUGUAGUUCUCUUUUAUAUCAUUCAGAACGUUGGGCAGAGG